rnacentral:lncRNA from 1 species
GAACCAACAUAAACUUGGGGUUUGACGGUUGGAAAUCUAUGCGUGGUUAUAUCUAUGAUAAAAGCCUAUAUUCAAUUAUGUGUUAAUGGAACCAACAUAAACUUGGGGUUUGACGGUUGGAAAUCUAUGCGUGGUUAUAUAUAUGAUAAAAGCCUAUAUUCAAUUAUGUGUUAAUCUUAUUUAGAUAGUCAUUAAAUCUUAGUGGCUAGAUGGUUGCCCAUAUGGAUACCCAGUUUUCCUUUUGAAAAUGUUUCAGUAUUGAUUUUUUCAGACUUUUGUCGAAGUUACAAUGAUUUGACAAGUUUGUACUAGAUGUGUUGUGUAAUACUAGCUGAUUGUAUCAUACCAAAGCACCGGAGACCAACAUUUCACCCUAGAAUUCUACUCUCUCUCUUGCAAACAACUGGUUUUGGGGAAAUGUUGCUUUCCCGUCUAUAUGUUUUACAUUAUAAAGAAAACACCCUGCCUGCGUAAUUUCUACUCUUCAUCUGUCUAUCGUAACCAGCACUAUCCACAACUUCUCCCCACCCCUACGUCUGAUCCUGCCAGCAAGCCACUCUUGAAAUUUUGGCAUUCCUUUUGACUAUUUAUGGACAGGAC